rnacentral:sRNA from 12 species
ACUGUGGAGUGUAGAUGAACUUGUAAGUAGUAUUGUUUAUACAGUACCAAAGCAUACACGAUGAAGCAGUAA